rnacentral:rRNA from 1 species
AUGGAAGUCGCAGCGAACGUAGCCACUCCGGCAAACCGGCCGCUCUCUGUCCGUGUGUCGUCAACGGAGAGUUCCACGGCAGAUGACCCCAUGAGCCCUGUCGGAAGAGUCAUGGAGGAGAUGGGUAUCUACAUCGUCCUCGUGAUGGGUCUCGGCACGCCCGUGAACCUGCCCGUCUUCCGCGCCGGCAUCCAAACAGAACUACCUCGGUUCCCGCGCUUCCGCAGCAUCCAGGUACUGGAUGGUUCCAAUAAUGGCAAGCCGCAUUGGGUGCAAACCACGGUGAACUUGGACGACCACAUCAUCCUCCCAAGACUGGAUCCUGCCGUCAGUGCUUCGGACCCAGACAAGGCCGUGGAAGACUAUGUGUCAUCCCUAUCCACGCUCCCAAUGGACAGGUCCCGCCCGCUUUGGGAGUUCCACUUCCUCGACUUUGCCACCUCCGAGGCGACGUCCACCACAGUGCUCCGACUGCACCACUCCAUCGGCGACGGCAUGUCUAUAAUGACGCUCCUCAUGGCCUCAUCGCGCAGCACGGCUGAUCGAGCUAGGCUGCCGGCCAUGCCGCCGCUGCCUAGACGAACAGGCGCGAUCUACCAGCAGCGGACACGGCCUCCACUGUCUUCGAUAGGCGAUUACCUAGCGUGGAUUUGGUCUUACUUUGUGCUGGUGUGGCACACACUCGUGGAUAUCGCGCUACUUAAUGCGACAUUGUUGUUCUUGAGAGAUCCACGCACGAUGUUCACCCGUGUGCCGGACAAAGUCAAGUCUCCCCGCCGCAAGCGCUUGGUGCACCGGAGCCUUAACCUUGAUGACGUCAAGCUCAUGAAGACUGCCAUGAACUGCACUAUCAACGACGUGCUAGUUGGCGUGACUUCAGCAGCUCUUUCAAAAUAUUACUUCAGGAAAUCUGGUGAUGCUAAAACUAAGAGAAUCCACUUGCGAUCAAUCCUCCCUGUCAACAUAAGGCCUCUCUCUAGCCGACAAACAUAUGUUACCAAGGUAGAGACAGGGAAUCAAGUUAGCAUUCUCAUAUGUCCAUUUCAUAUAGCCUUGCACGAUGAUCCCCUUGAGUAUGUUCACAAGGCAACACGGUCUAUAAACAGAAAAAAGAGCUCUUUGGAAGUCAAAUACGCACACGUGGCCAGUAAUUUUUUUGUGGAAUACUUUGGUGCCAAGAUAGGAGCUUUUUUCCUCCGCCGCUUUUCCACACGUACAAGCAUACUCGUAUCAAACGUUGUUGGGCCAGCUGAACAUAUAACGUUAUGUGGGCACCCAAUCACCUGCAUGGCAAUGAGCAUCUUUGGGCAACCUCAAGCUUUGAUCGUGCACUACCUAAAUUACGGCAGCACUAUGAAAUUAGUUCUGGCAGUUGAUGAUGCACAGUUUCCAGAUUCUCAUGAGCUUUUAGACGACUUUGUCAAGUCCGUCAAGAUCAUUAAGGACGCGUCUGGCCUCAAGACAUUAAAAACAUCUAUCCGGAUCACGUGA